rnacentral:rRNA from 1 species
UGCAAGUCGAGCGGACCGACGGGAGCUUGCUCCCUUAGGUCAGCGGCGGACGGGUGAGUAACACGUGGGUAACCUGCCUGUAAGACUGGGAUAACUCCGGGAAACCGGGGCUAAUACCGGAUGCUUGAUUGAACCGCAUGGUUCAAUCAUAAAAGGUGGCUUUUAGCUACCACUUGCAGAUGGACCCGCGGCGCAUUAGCUAGUUGGUGAGGUAACGGCUCACCAAGGCGACGAUGCGUAGCCGACCUGAGAGGGUGAUCGGCCACACUGGGACUGAGACACGGCCCAGACUCCUACGGGAGGCAGCAGUAGGGAAUCUUCCGCAAUGGACGAAAGUCUGACGGAGCAACGCCGCGUGAGUGAUGAAGGUUUUCGGAUCGUAAAACUCUGUUGUUAGGGAAGAACAAGUACCGUUCGAAUAGGGCGGCACCUUGACGGUACCUAACCAGAAAGCCACGGCUAACUACGUGCCAGCAGCCGCGGUAAUACGUAGGUGGCAAGCGUUGUCCGGAAUUAUUGGGCGUAAAGCGCGCGCAGGCGGUUUCUUAAGUCUGAUGUGAAAGCCCCCGGCUCAACCGGGGAGGGUCAUUGGAAACUGGGGAACUUGAGUGCAGAAGAGGAGAGUGGAAUUCCACGUGUAGCGGUGAAAUGCGUAGAGAUGUGGAGGAACACCAGUGGCGAAGGCGACUCUCUGGUCUGUAACUGACGCUGAGGCGCGAAAGCGUGGGGAGCGAACAGGAUUAGAUACCCUGGUAGUCCACGCCGUAAACGAUGAGUGCUAAGUGUUAGAGGGUUUCCGCCCUUUAGUGCUGCAGCAAACGCAUUAAGCACUCCGCCUGGGG